CCUAGCCUAAAAUAUUUAAAA
rnacentral:miRNA from 1 species